GCGGAUAGAGGUAGGUAGCCAAAAGCAAAGAGAAGAGAGAACAGGGUUGGAAAGAAAAAGUGAGUUUGCUCCCUAGAUUAGGCUGUCUUGGGAAACGCCCAGUUGGUCAUCUAGAUUUGACCUUCAAGUGUGACCAGCAGCGGUCGAUUGAGCUGAAGAAAUUUUGUGGAAUUUUAAUAAUUUUUAAAUGAAAAGGUAAAUUUAAACCGGAGUUGACGAUGCGCUCUCGUAAUCCCACAACUCAGAAAGCUGAGGCAGGAGAAUGGUCACCAGUUGCAGGCCACCCUAGAAUACACAGCAAGGCUCUGCCUCAGAAAAUGCUGGAGAUUACAGGAGUGUACACCACAUGCCUGGAUUACGUGGCGUUGGGAAUUCAACCACGGGCAUCAUCAAUGCCAGGCAGGCAUUCUACCAACUGACCUACAUCCGAAGCCCCCAGAUAUAACACUUUUGUUUUUUUUUUGUUUUGAAAUUUUCAUCAGUUGAUAGAUACUCUGUUGUCUCCACUUUGGGCUACUAUGAAGAGAGAUACUGUGAACUUUCCUGUAUUACUUUAUGUGGUCUGUGUUCAUUUAUUUUAGGUAUAUAUGAAAGACUGGAAUUGUUGGGUCAUAGGUUAACUGUUUAAUCACUUUAGGAAGUGGCUGAAAUAAAAAAAGAAUCUGGUUGUUUCGUA